AUGGAAACUGAUGCUGCGGCCGUGUUGCUCGCCGGAAUCCUCUCUAAGAGAGGGAUAGUUGCCCCGGCGAAGCAGUUACACGAUCUGAUCAAGUUGGGAGGGCGUUGGGGUCACUUUUCUGACCCCCACCUGUUGUUUUCGGUGUCUGAGUGGCGAGACUUUGGGGGAACAAUGUGGCAGAAGACGACUGAGGGAGGCGAGAAGGAGGAAAAGGAAAUAAAAGCUGUUCGCGCACUUUGGAACACAGUACUAGAGACUUUAACGGCAAUGAAGGCGGAAAGGGAAGUAGCGUCCGCAGCUGCCCAAAUGUUGGGCCCCGGGGCUUCCAGUACCAGGCCCCCUCCGAGCAGGCCAGGCCUGGUCUCGCGUUUUUUUGGACCGCACCCGGUGAAGGGGCCCAUGGGGCCAGUGUGCCGGUCUGUCGGGGAGGUACUGCAAAGGGCGCGGGAGAACUCCGAGGGGGAGGCAUCGUCAGCGCUGUCGCCCCCUGCGUCCCAGAAAGAGGAAGUUGCCUCAGCGCCGGCCGGUCCGAGCUCUGAGGCAAACGCGGACGUGCACCCGGAGGAGGCUCAAAGAGGGGCGGGCGCCGCGCCCCUUGCUGACCUCAUAGACUCGGGCGGAAAGGAGGGCCGACCCCCUCCUAGUGCUCCCCCCCCGCCGCUGCCUAGCAACAAUCCCCUGUACCCACCGUUGCCGCUGCCUACGCCACCUCAGCGGCCGCCUCUACCCUCCUUCAACGAGACCACCCGCUCACGUCAGACCCCAUCAGAGCAUCCUCCACUGCCUUUGUCCAGCGAGUCUUUGGGGGAUAACACGCCUGACACCAGAAAUAAAGUACCGCCGUCACCAGGAGAAACCGCAAGAGCGCUGCAGGAGCUAUCGGAUCGCCUGAAAAAGGUGGAACUGCAGACAAAGGAAAAGGAGAGGGAGGUCCCUCCCUGCUUAAUGAAUCCCCUCGCCAGACCUCCAAGGGAGUCCCGCUGGAGURGUAUUAUCAAGGACGCUAUUGCAGACGGUCAGUGGAAAGCCACCGGAGGGACGGGAGGUCUCACCCYGCUGGCAUUUCCGAUAUUACACCAGCACGGGCAGGGAAAAUGGGAGCCGCAUGAUUGGAAGAUCUUGCAGCAGGCCCGUACGACCGUCUCCACAUAUGGGGUCAAGUCGGAGGCCACUCGACAAAUAGUUAGUUGGAUCUUCUCUGCCGACCUCAUGUGUCCUUAUGAUUGUAAGAACUUAAUGAGACUGUUACUCACCCCAACAGCAGCUUAUUAUGACUAUCAAAACCGUAAUUCAUUCUGUGGCACCAAUGAAACGAGCCGCCAAGGGCUGGGAGCCCUUGGAGCUGAGGCGAAAGGGGGGCACCCAAUUUGGAACAAUGGUACCCCGAAAGCCUUGCCGCCAGACGUCUUUUUGAUAUGUGGUGACAGGGCCUGGCAGGGAAUUCCAAAAAACAUAAUGGGUGGUCCAUGUUAUCUUGGUAAAUUGACACUGCUGGCACCAGAUAAAAAUUGGUGGAAAAAUAUAACGGGGAACAGGACCGCCACCUGUAGUAAACGGGCGGCCAUAGGGCUCUCACCCGAUUGUAAUGAUAAGGUUACCCUACUCAGCCCUACUGAAAGAGUGUUUUUGUCUCUCUUCGUGCCUGGGGCAGCAGCAGGCAACGCCUUAAACCAAAUAGGACAAUUGGCUUGCUGGGCUGAGAAGCAAGCUAACGUCACCACUGAGGUAAUAGAGAGCCUAUUAGAGGACCAAAAUAGCCUGCGACAUGCUAUUCUGCAAAAUAGGGCUGCAAUUGAUUUUUUGUUAUUAGCUCAAGAUCAUGGUUGUGAGGAUUUUGAAGGUAUGUGCUGCAUGAAUUUGUCUGAUCAUAGUGAAUCCAUUCACAAACAAUUGCAGUGGUUGAAGGAGCACGCAAGUAAAAUCCAUCAGAACCAUGGGCUAUUAGACGAAUGGCUAACUAACCUAUUUGGAAAUCUGCCACAGUGGCUAAUAGGGUUGCUUACUGAAGGCUUACGCAUCUUAAUAAUCCUUGUAGUUAUAUGUUUGUGUUUAUGUGUAGUAUUAAGCUGUAUUAAGAAAGCUCUGCUGAAAGUAGUGAACCAAGCCUGGAUUGCUCAAAAACAAGAAGGGGGAAUUGUGGAAGAAUGGUUAAGUGAAAAGGGGCAUGAUCUCUUAGAAGUGAGCAAUCCUGUCUUCACGAUGGAGGGAGGAUCCCACAGCUAUGCGAGCUGUCCUUGA
ensembl:lncRNA